UGGGGAAUAUUGCACAAUGGGCGCAAGCCUGAUGCAGCCAUGCCGCGUGUAUGAAGAAGGCCUUCGGGUUGUAAAGUACUUUCAACGGGGAGGAAGGGAGUAAAGUUAAUACCUUUGCUCAUUGACGUUACCCGCAGAAGAAGCACCGGCUAACUCCGUGCCAGCAGCCGCGGUAAUACGGAGGGUGCAAGCGUUAAUCGGAAUUACUGGGCGUAAAGCGCACGCAGGCGGUUUGUUAAGUCAGAUGUGAAAUCCCCGGGCUCAACCUGGGAACUGCAUCUGAUACUGGCAAGCUUGAGUCUCGUAGAGGGGGGUAGAAUUCCAGGUGUAGCGGUGAAAUGCGUAGAGAUCUGGAGGAAUACCGGUGGCGAAGGCGGCCCCCUGGACGAAGACUGACGCUCAGGUGCGAAAGCGUGGGGAGCAAACAGG
rnacentral:rRNA from 1 species